rnacentral:rRNA from 1 species
UACGUAGGGUGCAAGCGUUGUCCGGAAUUAUUGGGCGUAAAGAGCUCGUAGGCGGUCUGUCACGUCGGCUGUGAAAAACCCCGAGGCUCAACCUCGGGCCUGCAGUCGAUACGGGGCAGACUAGAGUUCGGUAGGGGGAGACUGGAAUUCCUGGUGUAGCGGUGAAAUGCGCAGAUAUCAGGAGGAACACCGGUGGCGAAGGCG